CAAUUUUCAUCACAUCUGCAGAUACUUCUUCCCCUGUCAUUUUGCUGAUAAUAAUCCCUGAACAAGAAAUCACCAAGUUAUCCACACAUUCAGGAGAAACGAAAUCUCGCAGCAUUGCUAGUCACUGGAAAGCUCAUGCUUAGCUGAGAAUGCAGAGCUCUAGUCCUUCAAGCACGCCUUGGUUCUCCCAUCGGUUAUGAAAAGAAGAGAUGACAUGGACUUGAGGCCUGAUCCUGGGAAGCUGUGAGAGAACUGGCAUGGUGUUAAAGGAAAAUUUUUAAAUAAAAUAGAGAGGUAUCUUCUUUUGAUUUUCCUGUUUCUCUCUUCCUACACAAAUGCAUGCACAUAACGUUGUGGUUUUGGAUACUGUUUAAAU
rnacentral:lncRNA from 1 species